rnacentral:rRNA from 1 species
UUUUUGGAGAGUUUGAUCUUGGCUCAGGACGAACGCUGGCGGCGUGCCUAAUACAUGCAAGUCGAGCGCUGGAAACUAAUUUCAUCCCUUCGGGAUGAAAUUAGUGGAAAGAGCGGCGGACGGGUGAGUAACACGUGGGCAACCUACCUGUAAGACUGGGAUAACUCGCGGAAACGUGAGCUAAUACCGGAUAAUACUUUUUAUUGCAUAAUAAGAAGUUUGAAAGACGGCGUAAGCUGUCACUUAUAGAUGGGCCCGCGGCGCAUUAGCUAGUUGGUGAGGUAAAGGCUCACCAAGGCAACGAUGCGUAGCCGACCUGAGAGGGUGAUCGGCCACACUGGGACUGAGACACGG